rnacentral:rRNA from 1 species
ACUCCUACGGGAGGCAGCAGUGGGGAAUUUUGGACAAUGGGCGAAAGCCUGAUCCAGCAAUGCCGCGUGAGUGAAGAAGGCCUUCGGGUUGUAAAGCUCUUUUGUCAGGGAAGAAACGGUGAGAGCUAAUAUCUUUUGCUAAUGACGGUACCUGAAGAAUAAGCACCGGCUAACUACGUGCCAGCAGCCGCGGUAAUACGUAGGGUGCAAGCGUUAAUCGGAAUUACUGGGCGUAAAGCGUGCGCAGGCGGUUUUGUAAGUCUGAUGUGAAAUCCCCGGGCUCAACCUGGGAAUUGCAUUGGAGACUGCAAGGCUAGAAUCUGGCAGAGGGGGGUAGAAUUCCACGUGUAGCAGUGAAAUGCGUAGAUAUGUGGAGGAACACCGAUGGCGAAGGCAGCCCCCUGGGUCAAGAUUGACGCUCAUGCACGAAAGCGUGGGGAGCAAACAGGAUUAGAAACCCCAGUAGUCCC